GACGAACGCUGGCGGCGUGCUUAACACAUGCAAGUCGAACGAAGAGCGAUGGAAGCUUGGUUCUAUCAAUCUUAGUGGCGCACGGGUGAGUAACGCGUAAUCAACCUGACCUUUAGAGGGGGACAACAGUUGGAAACGACUGCUAAUACCGCAUACGAUCUAAUCUCGGCAUCGAGGAUAGAUGAAAGGUGGCCUCGACAUGUAGGCUCUCACUGAAGGUGGCGAGUGCGUCUGAUUAGCUAGUUGGAGGGGGAAGGGCCCAACAAGGCGAUGAUCAGUAGGCGGUUUGGGAGGAUGAACCGGCAAAUUGGGAACGAGACACGGCCCAGACUCCUAAGGGGGGGAGCCGUGGGGAAACUUUCGCAAUGGACGAAAGUCUGACGGAGCAACGCCGCGGGGGUGAUGACGGCCCUCGGGUUGGAAAGCUCUGUUAAUCGGGACGAAAGGCCUUCUGGCGAAUAGUGAGAAGUAUUGACGGUACCGGAAUAGAAAGCCACGGCUAACUACGUG
rnacentral:rRNA from 1 species